rnacentral:rRNA from 1 species
CCCUUAGAUGUUCUGGGCCGCACGCGCGCUACACUGACGAAUUCAACGAGUUUAUAACCUUUGCUGGGAGGCAUGGGUAAUCUUGUGAACGUUCGUCGUGAUGGGGAUAGAUUAUUGCAAUUGUUAAUCUUCAACGAGGAAUUCCUAGUAAACGCAAGUCAUCAGCUUGCAUUGAUUACGCCCCUGCCCUUUGUACACACCGCCCGUCGCACCUACCGAUUGAAUGGUCCGGUGAAUUCUUCGGACUGCGGCUUUGACUCGAUUUCGGUCGAGGCGUUGCUGCGGGAAGUUGAUUAAACCUUACCAUUUAGAGGAAGGUGAAGUCGUAACA